UGGGUUAGGUUAUUGAAGAGAGAAGUGGAAAACAAUGAAAGUGAAAGCCCCACAUAACUGUCCAUAGGCCGAUAUCUUUCUCGCACUUUUACAUUAAUCAAAGUUCUUUUUUUUUUAAAUUCUCUUUAUUUUUUAUAGUUAUAAUAAAUUUAAAAAAAACCGUCCUAACUAAUUUUUAAAAAAAUAAGGAUGAUAUAAGUUAAUAUAGUUAGUUGUGUGGAUGCUAUUUUAUUUGCUAUUUGUACAAAAGCAUUGAGUUUAGUUGAUUAUAAAAGGUUCAAAAGGACCAUGCUUAUUGAAUACUCAAGUCUUAAUGUGGCUAUGGCUGAUUGGCAGUCACAAAGAAGCUUUCCUGAAAGCAAUUUUAACAUAAAAGGAAAUAUUUCAUAUGCAUUUUGGGUGAAUUGACUGCACCAUUCCAUGUGUUUGUCUUGUAAAAGAGGCAACAUUUUGCUUGCACCUGUCCCUAUACAGUCCACUCAUGUGCAAAUACAGCAUACAUACACGUUGCUUGCAAGUUAAACACUUAAAAAAGAUAAUUUUCUUUUUGGUCAUUUUCUACUUAGGACAAUAAGCACAAGUUGCAAGCAAUUAAUUUUUCAAAAUACACGGACAAUUUUAAUAGGCCAAAAGGAAAAUGAAGGAAAAGGCUAGAGAAGCACAUUCAAUUUAAGUGAAAAGAUCACAAGCCAUGUAUAUGGUGUCAAUUAGCAUUGUUUAAAUAUGCCAAGUGAUAUCAUUCAGCAUAUGCAUGUUUUUUUUUCUUCGUCUAGAUCUAAAAUCCAUUAUUGAUGGAUUAAGUUUUUCAUUCUUUUAAGCAAAUUCUUUUAAUCAUAUAUUGGAGGCUAAUAUGGUAUGUCUCAGUGCUUACAAGUAAGUGCUAUCACAAAGACACUUGGAACAUCAUUAAAGCUACCUUGACAAAUCUGAGCCUUCAUGUUGAAUCAAGUUUGUCCUUUCCAUGCAAUUAUGCAGAAAUCAAUAGUGUUUUGAAAACUCAUGUAUCGUUGGAUAUGCUUGGUCGGAUAUUUAAUGGUUCUGGCAAAACCCAUUGAUAAUGGUCCUCCAAUUUUGCCUGAGGCUUAUCUAGACAUUUCUGGUGAGAUAUAGGUGAAUGAUGAAUAUUUCUUUUUUAUUUUCGGUCUUGAUUAAAACCCUUUGGUUGUCAUCCUCAGGAAGCUCCAUCAACCCCAGUGAAAAUCUCCUUUCUCUUGACUGCUAUGUAACUAUUUCUUUAUCAAUAUAUCGUUCAUCAAAAGUGGCACUUACAUUAACCAAAAAUAAAAAAAAAUGGCACUUAAAAUCUGAUUAUUUGAUUAUUUCUUUAUGGACUAUUAAUAUGAUUAUUUGAUUAUUUCACCAUCGUUUUUUUUUUGUUAGAGCCCUAUCACAUCUAUUUUCUAUCAAUGGAAUAGUAGUGAAAAGGCACUUGUAAUGUGGGAGGAGCUGUAAAGGCACAAAGGUGAUUUGCAUCUGGAGAAUGUAUACUAUUCAUAAAUGAAAGAUGCUGGUUUCUUUGAUGCUGAUUGGGAGUGAUGCAGUGAUAUUCUGGUCGGAUGACUCUGUAUAUUAAAGUAACUUCCAGAUGGCAAAAAUUUCUGUGCUUGAAGAGAUGCUUGUUUGUUGCUUGCUGGACUCGUUCUUUUACAAUAGAUGUAGUGUGCCUCUGGCACUUGGAACGCUUUGUUGUGUACCAAUUAGGAACUGGUUAGACCGCAUUAAAAAAUAUAACUCUGUAUAAUACAGAAUAAGGGAAGCAUAAAGGUAUAUUUUAUGAUAUAAAUUUGAUACUAUUUGGAUCCA